AAAAUUUUUAUUUAAAACUGUAUGAAAUUACAAGAAUGUCAUGAAUAAGUUUUUAAAACUAUCAAAAAAUUGAAAUCCGUUUGAAGAUUCAAUGUAGUUUAUUAGCAAACGAAAGAAAAUGAAAACGUUAAUAAAAAUUAAAACGUUCUCGUUUAUAUUUGCAGGUAAAUUGCUUCGUUACAAUUAUUAAGCUUAUACGCCCGGUCGACUUAUUGAUUGGUGCUCUGGAGCGCUAUUGGGGAUAUCGGCCACUUCCUGCAUGCGCUAGCGUCCCGGGCCGGGCGGCGCGGGGAGGCUGGCAGCUCGCCCAAGGACGCCUAGGCAACCUAGGACGUCGCGGUCAAGGUCGGGUCACAUCUAGACUUGCGCAAUCGACCUAUCAGAAAUAUGAUUAAGCUAACCUUGAAGCUACCUAUUGUAUGUAAUAAAGAUUAUUUUAUUGAUAUCGGUCAUCAUUGAUGUCAAUAACCGUCUUUUUAUCGAUAUCGAUGCGAUGUUAUUUUGGUAAUUUUUUAUUUUAUUAUGCACAGAUAAGCUAAAAAUUAUUGUGUACGUUUUACUCAUCCAUUUACACUAUUAAGAAAAAGCAUGAGCCAAAAUAAUAUUUUUUAAACCAGCUUUAACGUUAUGUCUAACUACAGACAAAAUAGUUGCAAUCGCAUUCGUACUUUCUACGGAUUUGCGAAAAUUCUACACGUGAAAAAAACAUAUAAAAAAGCAAAGUAAUGAGAUCGCGUGUAGUUGCGAGGCGUGUCGUGAAUUACAAUAGCCGGGGGCGAUCACCGCUGUUACGACAUUAGAAAGCCACCACGGUCGACGGUCGCACCGGCGAAAGUUAGCAUACGUGCGCGCGAUGGCCGCGUGAGCCAUGCGUGUACCGCUUACCGCCGCAAGAUGUCGCUGUAUAAGAUGAAAGUGAUAGCAAAACGCCUAUUUAACCCUUGCAGUGGGUAUACCUUUCAACAAUUCGGAUUAACUUUCAACACAUAUGGUUAAUACGAUAAACAAAUUGUGUUUUUUUCAGGCAUGAAAAAAUGAUAUAUCUCAAUGUUUAUAAUUUGGGAUUAUUGUAAUUGUCAGUAAUGUAAUAUCAUUUUGCUUGUUUACGUUCCUCAGUAUUUAUGAGAUGAAAGUGAUGGCCCAACGCCUACGUUUGACCUUUCCUCUCAACCCGGUUAUAUGGUUUUUAAUUUUACUGCCUCUGCCUUUUAAUAUUGUGAAUCAGAUAAAAUUUACCAAAAGCCGUGUUUAUAUCUUUUCCGUUGUCGAAAUCGGUCUUCGAUUCUUGUUUUUUUUUGUUAAUUUCUCUUAUGAUUCAGAAAUAUUCAACUUUACGAUCAGUCCGGUUGCAAAACAGUUUACAAGAAACUUGAGAAAUAUCCGCUUUAUAUUAUAAGAAAUUUAAAUGACUAUUACAACACUAACUACGAAAUAAAAAAAAUAUAAAGCCCAUAAAUGUUUAAAUAUAAAAACAAAAACGAAUCAACAUUGCAGCAAAUUAACUUCAUAAAUACAACUUACUUGUUUAUGCUUUCCGCUUUACUUUUCAUUAUUAUUACUUCGUUUCUAUUCCCAGUAAUUCCCUAUCAGUCGAGUUUACAAUUUAAACUUCCAAUAAAUUACAUUGAAACAGCUAAACCUGAAAUGCACUCGUGCUGUUCAAAGGUCGCGAGCGAAUUGAUUUAUCUAGCCCUGGCCGGGUCCAGGGGGGUCCUGCGCAAUGCUCGGGAUUGCAUCCUCUCCCCCGCCCUACCCCGCCCGGGACUCGCAACCCCCGCCCCCAGAGAGCUCCCGCCUCCCCGUAACCUUCACCGGUGCAUCCCUGGACGAUAGCCAGGUACAUGAAAGGGGAGGAAGCGGGAGGCUGCCGCCCACUUGUCGAGCCACCCCGGGCUGCCUGAAGGCGGGGGUGGCCUGUCGUCAGAUGACCUUGAAGCGUUAUUUGAAGGAUGCAGGGAACGCAUCCCGGGAAAGCUAUAUCAAUAAAAUAUGACAUUAUAAUA